rnacentral:rRNA from 1 species
AACGAACGCUGGCGGCGUGGAUAAGGCAUGCAAGUCGAGCGCGAAAGUCCCCUUCGGGGGAUGAGUAGAGCGGCAAACGGGUGAGUAACACGUGAGUAACCUGUCCUUGGGUGGGGGAUAACCCCGGGAAACCGGGGCUAAUACCGCAUGAUGUUGUUCCCACACAAGUGAGAAUAACCAAAAGGGGGGGACCUUCGGGCCUCCCGCCUGAGGAGGGGCUCGCGCCUGAUUAGCUAGUUGGUGGGGUAACGGCUCACCAAGGCGAUGAUCAGUAGCCGGUCUGAGAGGAUGGACGGCCACACUGGGACUGAGACACGGCCCAGACUCCUACGGGAGGCAGCAGUGGGGAAUAUUGCGCAAUGGGGGAAACCCUGACGCAGCGACGCCGCGUGAGCGAAGAAGGCCUUAGGGUCGUAAAGCUCUGUUGUAAGGGACGAAUGUUUAUCUGGCGAACAGUCAGAUAAAGUGACGGUUACCUUACCAGCAACGCCCCGGCUAACUACGUGCCAGCCAGCCCGACGGUAAAAGUGU